GAAUAGAUGAGGGCAGUCAAGAGGACAUUAAUCCAUGAUGUCUACAUUUUCACCAUUGCCGAGAUUUUGUUGAUGAUGAGGAUGUUGCUUCAAAAAUUCAGGCUGGAGUUGGGAUAAGUUGCUGAAUUCUCUGAUGUGACCAUAGUUUCACAGAAGACACCAGUCAACUCUAACACAAACAGUUCCCACAAACAAAGUGAUUAUUCGUCCUCUAACAGACCUUGAAGUGAGGGACCUAGAUUAUAAAACCCAGGCAAGGAGAACACCUUCCAGAAUCCAGAUAGGUACUCACAGCCCAGUUGGAGAGGCAAGGCCGGGCACUAGCUCUGGCCGCUGUCAGCUGUCCUGCCAAGACACAAGCUGCUAAGCAGGACUGGCUCCAUAAUUUGCAGGCCCAGUGCGAAAUGAAAACAAGGGGCCCCUCGUUCAAGAUUUAUUAACAAUUUCAAGACAGUGAGAGCAGAAAGUUAAACCAAGUACAGGACCCGUCUAAGCCUGAGGAGGCCUGUCAGAGCCCUGCUGCCCCUGCAACAUGGCAGACAAGACAACUGGGUUCCCAGGGCCCUAACUCCAGAGGAAUGGCCAGAACUGGAGAACAUUCCAGGAAGCAAACAGGAGCUGCAGUCUGAAGAUUAGAGACUGAAGGCCAAGAUAGCAGAAUAGCUACUGAAACUGAGGACCCUGGGAUCCUCAGAAGAAAGCAAACUGUUCAGGGCAACAAACAGGUGGCCUGGGCAGGAGAUAAUCAAUGUGGGGGCUGAAAGCAGAUCCAGUUCUUAACAGGAUGGUCUAUUGAAGGCCACUGAUGAAGAAAUUGGCCCAGUUCUUGAAGAAAGGUGAAGGACUCGGCAAAACAGCCAAUAAGGAGUGUCUGCAGAAGAGAUAAGUUUAAUAUCUAGGUUCGCCCUGGGCUUGUAACAAGGAGGUAGAGUUCACUGAUCUAGACUUUGUCCAGCCAUUUCGGCAAUUUCUGAGGAACUUGGGAACGCAGGGAGAGGCACAAAGGACUGAUGGGAUGAUGGAGGCCUUUGCCGAGGGACAGUGUUAUCAAGAAGGUUUUAGUGCCCAGAUGCUGCUAUCCUCCCCUUUGCACAUCUUGUUGAAUACCAGCUAGAAGCCCCAAGUCAUAGAGAAGCCCGCAGGAGAAAGGUUCACUGCCAUGAACAGAGCCAUCAGUGAUGGACGAGCAACUCUAGAAGCUGUCAUUUCUCAAAUUAACAUUAACCACGUUUGCCUCUCACUUGCUUCUUCCCAGUUCCCAUUUUUCACACACACAAAAAACGUAGGUAACUAACGUGUAAUACCCAAGAGCUUUC